GAAAAACCACACAAGGGUUAAGCAUUCCAGAUGAUUUUCAAAGGCUGUGUCCUAACCAACUCUACUUACUUAUUUGGAGUUCAAUGGAAACAUUGAAGUUCCCGGCACGUGGGAUGAUGCCAGAUGCUGGAAUAGCAGCAAUGCCACGUACAGGCAGGGAUGACUGGGGCCUUCAGCGGGUAAGAUGUGGGUGCCAACUUUGGGAACAUGUGGUCCUUGAAAAACGCCUCAUCUCCAGCAAUAUGAGUCUGCCAGAGGUCAUCACGCUAGAUGGGGAUGGUGAUGGAGGCUUUGGUGGUCCACACAAUGAAGAAGCAUCAAUGAAAUGUCUGUAUCUCAGUAAAAUCUUUGAAACUGUUGCAUAUACAUUUUUGCUCAGUAUAUCUUUACAAUAAAAAAAUAAGGUGACCACUGAAAACCAGAUGGAGAUGUGUUAAUUAGAAGCGCACUCGGUCCUUAUAUUACCGUAGCAUAGGCUAUGCUGGAGUGAAUGUCGGCCUACCUGUCACAAGGAAAAAAGUUACCAUUAUGAGAUGAUAGGUCUACAUGCAUUGUGAACUGCGCUCCAUGCUGAGAUGGGCUGUAUGUACACACCCUGAGUAUUGAUGAUUGGUCAGGCAGAGAGAAGGCCAUAGACAAGCCAG